GAYARYASAUCWCGGAACSAACRAGCCUAASRGGUUAGUGGCGGACGGGUGAGUAACGCGUGAGAAUYUGCCCUCAGGAGGGGGAUAACGGUUGGAAACGACCGCUAAUACCCCAUAUGCCGCGAGGUGAAAUGAAUUUCGCCUGAGGAUGAGCUCGCGUCUGAUUAGCUAGUUGGUGGGGUAAGAGCCUACCAAGGCUUCGAUCAGUAGCUGGUCUGAGAGGAUGAUCAGCCACACUGGGACUGAGACACGGCCCAGACUCCUACGGGAGGCAGCAGUGGGGAAUUUUCCGCAAUGGGCGAAAGCCUGACGGAGCAACGCCGCGUGAGGGAUGAAGGCCUCUGGGCUGUAAACCUCUUUUAUCAAGGAAGAAGAUCUGACGGUACUUGAUGAAUAAGCCACGGCUAAUUCCGUGCCAGCAGCCGCGGUAAUACGGGAGUGGCAAGCGUUAUCCGGAAUUAUUGGGCGUAAAGCGUCCGCAGGCGGUCUUACAAGUCUGUCGUUAAAGCGUGGAGCUUAACUCCAUUUCGGCGAUGGAAACUGUAAGACUAGAGUGUGGUAGGGGCAGAGGGAAUUCCCGGUGUAGCGGUGAAAUGCGUAGAUAUCGGGAAGAACACCAGUGGCGAAGGCGCUCUGCUGGGCCAUAACUGACGCUCAUGGACGAAAGCUAGGGGAGCGAAAGGGAUUAGAUACCCCUGUAGUCCUAGCCGUAAACGAUGAACACUAGGUGUCGGGGGAAUCGACCCCCUCGGUGUCGUAGCCAACGCGUUAAGUGUUCCGCCUGGGGAGUACGCACGCAAGUGUGAAACUCAAAGGAAUUGACGGGGGCCCGCACAAGCGGUGGAGUAUGUGGUUUAAUUCGAUGCAACGCGAAGAACCUUACCAGGGUUUGACAUCCUGCGAAUCCCUUGGAAACUUGGGAGUGCCUUCGGGAGCGCAGUGACAGGUGGUGCAUGGCUGUCGUCAGCUCGUGUCGUGAGAUGUUGGGUUAAGUCCCGCAACGAGCGCAACCCACGUCUUUAGUUGCCAGCAUUUAGUUGGGCACUCUAGAGAGACCGCCGGUGAUAAACCGGAGGAAGGUGUGGAUGACGUCAAGUCAUCAUGCCCCUUACAUCCUGGGCUACACACGUACUACAAUGCUACGGACAAAGGGCAGCAAACUCKCGAGAGCUAGCCAAUCCCAUAAACCGUGGCUCAGUUCAGAUCGUAGGCUGCAACUCGCCUACGUGAAGGAGGAAUCGCUAGUAAUCGCAGGUCAGCAUACUGCGGUGAAUACGUUCCCGGGCCUUGUACACACCGCCCGUCACACCAUGGAAGUUGGCCACGCCCGAAGUCGUUACUCCAACCCUUGUGGAGGAGGAUGCCGAAGGUGGGGCUGAUGACUGGGGUGAAGUCGUAACAAGGUAGCCGUACCGGAAGGUGCGGCUGGAUCACCUCCUA
rnacentral:rRNA from 1 species